CCCCUCUCAGUGUCACACCUGGAGAGUCUCCAGUACUCUAUCAGUUUCGACUUCGAGGAGGGAGAGUCAAGCAGAGGCAUAUCCAUUCCAUUCCUAGCUUGGGCAGUGGCUAGAGAGUGGAAGGCAGUCUCUUACAAGU